rnacentral:rRNA from 1 species
UGGGGAAUAUUGCACAAUGGGCGCAAGCCUGAUGCAGCCAUGCCGCGUGUGUGAAGAAGGCCUUCGGGUUGUAAAGCACUUUCAGCGAGGAGGAAGGUGGUGAGCUUAAUACGCUUAUCAAUUGACGUUACUCGCAGAAGAAGCACCGGCUAACUCCGUGCCAGCAGCCGCGGUAAUACGGAGGGUGCAAGCGUUAAUCGGAAUUACUGGGCGUAAAGCGCACGCAGGCGGUUUGUUAAGUCAGAUGUGAAAUCCCCGGGCUCAACCUGGGAACUGCAUUUGAAACUGGCAAGCUAGAGUCUCGUAGAGGGGGGUAGAAUUCCAGGUGUAGCGGUGAAAUGCGUAGAGAUCUGGAGGAAUACCGGUGGCGAAGGCGGCCCCCUGGACAAAGACUGACGCUCAGGUGCGAAAGCGUGGGGAGCAAACA